CCCUUCUCAGGAUCAAACCUGGAGAGUUUCUAGAACUCUACCAGUCUUGACUAGGGGAGGGAGAGUCAAGCAGAGGCAUACCCAUUCCAUUCCUGAUUUGGCCAGUGGCUAGUGAGUGGAAGCCAACCUGCCCCAAGC